UACGAAGGGGGCUAGCGUUGCUCGGAAUCACUGGGCGUAAAGGGUGCGUAGGCGGGUAUUUAAGUCAGGGGUGAAAUCCCAGAGCUCAACUCUGGAACUGCCUUUGAUACUGGGUACCUAGAGUAUGGAAGAGGUGAGUGGAAUUCCGAGUGUAGAGGUGAAAUUCGUAGAUAUUCGGAGGAACACCAGUGGCGAAGGCGGCUCACUGGUCCAUUACUGACGCUGAGGUGCGAAAGCGUGGGGAGCAAACAGG
rnacentral:rRNA from 1 species